rnacentral:rRNA from 1 species
GACGAACGCUGGCGGCGUGCUUAACACAUGCAAGUCGAACGGAAAGGCCUGCUUUCCCUUGUGGAUUGCGGGUACUCGAGUGGCGAACGGGUGAGUAACACGUGAGUGAUCUGCCCCCAACUUGGGUAUAAGCCUGGGAAACUGGGUCUAAUUCCCGAUAGGACUGCAGGGUGGUGCCUGUGGUGGAAAACGAUUUUCUAGUGGUUGGGGAUGAGCUCGCGGCCUAUCAGCUUGUUGGUGGGGUAAUGGCCUACCAAGGCGGCGACGGGUAGCCGGCCUGGGAGGGUGGACGGCCACAUUGGGACUGAGAUACGGCCCAGAAUCCUACGGGAGGCAGCAGUGGGGAAUAUUGCACAAUGGGCGGAAGCCUGAUGCAGCGACGCCGCGUGUGGGAUGACGGCCUUCGGGUUGUAAACUCCUUUCGACCGCGAGGAAGCCACCUGGUUGGAAGGGUGGUGACGGUAGUGGUAGAAGAAGCACCGGCUAACUACGUG